rnacentral:rRNA from 1 species
AGGACGAACGCUGGCGGCGUGCUUAACACAUGCAAGUCGAGCGGAAAGGCCUUUCGGGGUACUCGAGCGGCGAACGGGUGAGUAACACGUGAGUAAUCUGCCCAUCGCUUCAGGAUAGCCAUCGGAAACGGUGAUUAAUACUGGAUAUGACAUUCCUUCGCAUGUUGGGGUGUGGAAAGUUUUUUCGGCGGUGGAUGUGCUCGCGGCCUAUCAGCUUGUUGGUGGGGUAAUGGCCUACCAAGGCUUUGACGGGUAGCCGGCCUGAGAGGGUGACCGGGCCACACUGGGACUGAGACACGGCCCAGACUCCUACGGGAGGCAGCAGUGGGGAAUAUUGGACAAUGGGCGGAAGCCUGAUCCAGCAACG